GCUGUGAUCGUAUAGUGGUUAGUACUUCACGUUGGUGGUCGUGACAACCCCAGGUUCGAAUCCUGGUCACAGCA
rfam:Ciona savignyi cont_35227, whole genome shotgun sequence.